rnacentral:lncRNA from 1 species
CCGGCGGAUUCGGGCGCCCGGUGUGCUCCGUCGACUGACCCCGAGCUGUCCGAAUCCGGCCUCGGCCACCGGGGGCGGGGCGUGAAAAGGGGGCGUCUCCUCCCGGGUGCAGGCUGAGGGGCCCGGACCACCCCCACUGCGGACGAGGGACCCUGACCGCGCCCCGCUUCCUUUCCAUAACGAGUGGACCCCUCCCGGAGCACCUUCAGCCCUUCCUCCACGGGAGACCCCCCCAGCGCCGGCACGAGAGAUGCCAGCGGACCCCCACCCCUGACACACCUGCGCCGCCUCCGAAACGCGAUCUGUCCGGCGCCUCCCCUCGGGCGCCUUCUCCCCCGAGCCGGCCGGGAGCCGGGACGGGGGCGCGCAGGGUCCCUGGCCGCGGGAAGGCUGGAGCCGUUCUGGCUGGCACCGGGGUCUACGCCCUCCUGCCGGAGGCUGGCUCUCGCCUCUGCUCCCUUCCUGGGUUCUGCGCCGCCACCCCUCACCCACGCCGCUUAUCUUCCCUCCCUUUGCACGCUCCCGCGGGACAGGGAGAGUUACAGGCUUCAGACUUUAUCUCGUUGUGGAAAGCAAGAGACCAAGCCAAAAACUUUGGUCGUGCUUUUCAACAUCUCCGGUCAAAAGAGGUCGCCAAUCUGCUUUUCUCCCAUUGCUGCGUCUUAGAGGGGUGUGGUGCCAGGAUACCACUUUUGAAAAUCCUGUUGAAUGCAAGUCCUCUUUGUUGCUCAUUGAACAAUGAGGAUAUUUAGCUCCCCUCAGAGCUACCCUCAGAGUUGGAUGAGCUAUCCUCAGAGUUGGAUGCCACCACCGGGAGCAGCAAAAGCGAAGGCAACUCAUGAUUCUGCCUCAGAAGCAAUCGAAUAAAAUAUUUUGAAAAUGA